GAUGAACGCUGGCGGCGUGCCUAAUACAUGCAAGUCGAGCGAACGGACGAGAAGCUUGCUUCUCUGAUGUUAGCGGCGGACGGGUGAGUAACACGUGGAUAACCUACCUAUAAGACUGGGAUAACUUCGGGAAACCGGAGCUAAUACCGGAUAAUAUUUUGAACCGCAUGGUUCAAAAGUGAAAGACGGUCUUGCUGUCACUUCUAGAUGGAUCCGCGCUGCAUUAUCUAGUUGGUAAGGUAACGGCUUACCAAGGCAAUGAUGCAUAGCCGACCUGAGAGGGGGAUCGGCCACACAGAAACUGAGACACGGUCCAGACUCCUACGGGAGGCAGCAGUAGGGAAGCUUCCGCAAUGGGCGAAAGCCUGACGGAGCAACGCAGCGUGAGUGAUGAAGGUCUUCGGAUCGUAAAACGCUGUUAUUAGGGAAGAACAUAUGUGUAAGUAACUGUGCACAUCUUGACGGUACCUAAUCAGAAAGCCACGGCUAACUACGU
rnacentral:rRNA from 1 species